GUCGAGCGGACAGAAGGGAGCUUGCUCCCGGAUGUUAGCGGCGGACGGGUGAGUAACACGUGGGUAACCUGCCUGUAAGACUGGGAUAACUCCGGGAAACCGGAGCUAAUACCGGAUAGUUCCUUGAACCGCAUGGUUCAAGGAUGAAAGACGGUUUCGGCUGUCACUUACAGAUGGACCCGCGGCGCAUUAGCUAGUUGGUGGGGUAAUGGCUCACCAAGGCGACGAUGCGUAGCCGACCUGAGAGGGUGAUCGGCCACACUGGGACUGAGACACGGCCCAGACUCCUACGGGAGGCAGCAGUAGGGAAUCUUCCGCAAUGGACGAAAGUCUGACGGAGCAACGCCGCGUGAGUGAUGAAGGUUUUCGGAUCGUAAAGCUCUGUUGUUAGGGAAGAACAAGUGCGAGAGUAACUGCUCGCACCUUGACGGUACCUAACCAGAAAGCCACGGCUAACUACGUGCCAGCAGCCGCGGUAAUACGUAGGUGGCAAGCGUUGUCCGGAAUUAUUGGGCGUAAAGGGCUCGCAGGCGGUUUCUUAAGUCUGAUGUGAAAGCCCCCGGCUCAACCGGGGAGGGUCAUUGGAAACUGGGAAACUUGAGUGCAGAAGAGGAGAGUGGAAUUCCACGUGUAGCGGUGAAAUGCGUAGAGAUGUGGAGGAACACCAGUGGCGAAGGCGACUCUCUGGUCUGUAACUGACGCUGAGGAGCGAAAGCGUGGGGAGCGAACAGGAUUAGAUACCCUGGUAGUCCACGCCGUAAACGAUGA
rnacentral:rRNA from 2 species